rnacentral:rRNA from 1 species
CUGGGGGGAUUAGUGGCGAACGGGUGAGUAACACGUGAGUAACCUGCCCUUAACUCUGGGAUAAGCCUGGGAAACUGGGUCUAAUACCGGAUAUGACUCCUCAUCGCAUGGUGGGGGGUGGAAAGCUUUUGUGGUUUUGGAUGGACUCGCGGCCUAUCAGCUUGUUGGUGAGGUAAUGGCUCACCAAGGCGACGACGGGUAGCCGGCCUGAGAGGGUGACCGGCCACACUGGGACUGAGACACGGCCCAGACUCCUACGGGAGGCAGCAGUGGGGAAUAUUGCACAAUGGGCGCAAGCCUGAUGCAGCGACGCCGCGUGAGGGAUGACGGCCUUCGGGUUGUAAACCUCUUUCAGUAGGGAAGAAGCGAAAGUGACGGUACCUGCAGAAGAAGCGCCGGCUAACUACGUGCCAGCAGCCGCGGUAAUACGUAGGGCGCAAGCGUUAUCCGGAAUUAUUGGGCGUAAAGAGCUCGUAGGCGGUUUGUCGCGUCUGCCGUGAAAGUCCGGGGCUCAACUCCGGAUCUGCGGUGGGUACGGGCAGACUAGAGUG